rnacentral:rRNA from 1 species
UACGAAGGGGGCUAGCGUUGCUCGGAAUUACUGGGCGUAAAGGGCGCGUAGGCGGACAGUUUAGUCAGAGGUGAAAGCCCAGGGCUCAACCUUGGAACUGCCUUUGAUACUGACUGUCUUGAGUUCGGGAGAGGUGAGUGGAAUGCCGAGUGUAGAGGUGAAAUUCGUAGAUAUUGGGAAGAACACCGGUGGCGAAGGCGGCUAUCUGGCCCGUAAUUGACGCUGAGGCGCGAAAGCGUGGGGAGCAAACAGG